UCAAAGUUAGAAGUGUGCUUGCUUUAGAAAAAAGAAAAGAAGAAUAAUCUUUCUUUAGAAGAACACCAUUUGAUGGUCACUGUCUCACAGAUGCUAAUAAUCACAUUUUUAAUUCCCAAGAACCUACCUUUUUUCUUCUUCUCUCUUUUGCUAAUAUUCAUUUAGAGAAAUAACUUAAUAACCAAGUAGUUGAAAUUUGCAACCCCAUG
rnacentral:lncRNA from 1 species